rnacentral:rRNA from 1 species
GACUGCGUACCUUUUGUAUAAUGGGUCAGCGACUUAUAUUCUGUAGCAAGGUUAACCGAAUAGGGGAGCCGAAGGGAAACCGAGUCUUAACUGGGCGUUAAGUUGCAGGGUAUAGACCCGAAACCCGGUGAUCUAGCCAUGGGCAGGUUGAAGGUUGGGUAACACUAACUGGAGGACCGAACCGACUAAUGUUGAAAAAUUAGCGGAUGACUUGUGGCUGGGGGUGAAAGGCCAAUCAAACCGGGAGAUAGCUGGUUCUCCCCGAAAGCUAUUUAGGUAGCGCCUCGUGAAUUCAUCUCCGGGGGUAGAGCACUGUUUCGGCAAGGGGGUCAUCCCGACUUACCAACCCGAUGCAAACUGCGAAUACCGGAGAAUGUUAUCACGGGAGACACACGGCGGGUGCUAACGUCCGUCGUGAAGAGGGAAACAACCCAGACCGCCAGCUAAGGUCCCAAAGUCAUGGUUAAGUGGGAAACGAUGUGGGAAGGCCCAGACAGCCAGGAUGUUGGCUUAGAAGCAGCCAUCAUUUAAAGAAAGCGUAAUAGCUCACUGGUCGAGUCGGCCUGCGCGGAAGAUGUAACGGGGCUAAACCAUGCACCGAAGCUGCGGCAGCGACGCUUAUGCGUUGUUGGGUAGGGGAGCGUUCUGUAAGCCUGCGAAGGUGUACUGUGAGGUAUGCUGGAGGUAUCAGAAGUGCGAAUGCUGACAUAAGUAACGAUAAAGCGGGUGAAAAGCCCGCUCGCCGGAAGACCAAGGGUUCCUGUCCAACGUUAAUCGGGGCAGGGUGAGUCGACCCCUAAGGCGAGGCCGAAAGGCGUAGUCGAUGGGAAACAGGUUAAUAUUCCUGUACUUGGUGUUACUGCGAAGGGGGGACGGAGAAGGCUAUGUUGGCCGGGCGACGGUUGUCCCGGUUUAAGCGUGUAGGCUGGUUUUCCAGGCAAAUCCGGAAAACUAAGGCUGAGGCGUGAUGACGAGGCACUACGGUGCUGAAGCAACAAAUGCCCUGCUUCCAGGAAAAGCCUCUAAGCAUCAGGUAACAUCAAAUCGUACCCCAAACCGACACAGGUGGUCAGGUAGAGAAUACCAAGGCGCUUGAGAGAACUCGGGUGAAGGAACUAGGCAAAAUGGUGCCGUAACUUCGGGAGAAGGCACGCUGAUAUGUAGGUGAAGCGACUUGCUCGUGGAGCUGAAAUCAGUCGAAGAUACCAGCUGGCUGCAACUGUUUAUUAAAAACACAGCACUGUGCAAACACGAAAGUGGACGUAUACGGUGUGACGCCUGCCCGGUGCCGGAAGGUUAAUUGAUGGGGUCAGCGCAAGCGAAGCUCUUGAUCGAAGCCCCGGUAAACGGCGGCCGUAACUAUAACGGUCCUAAGGUAGCGAAAUUCCUUGUCGGGUAAGUUCCGACCUGCACGAAUGGCGUAAUGAUGGCCAGGCUGUCUCCACCCGAGACUCAGUGAAAUUGAACUCGCUGUGAAGAUGCAGUGUACCCGCGGCAAGACGGAAAGACCCCGUGAACCUUUACUAUAGCUUGACACUGAACAUUGAGCCUUGAUGUGUAGGAUAGGUGGGAGGCUUUGAAGUGUGGACGCCAGUCUGCAUGGAGCCGACCUUGAAAUACCACCCUUUAAUGUUUGAUGUUCUAACGUUGACCCGUGAUCCGGGUUGCGGACAGUGUCUGGUGGGUAGUUUGACUGGGGCGGUCUCCUCCUAAAGAGUAACGGAGGAGCACGAAGGUUGGCUAAUCCUGGUCGGACAUCAGGAGGUUAGUGCAAUGGCAUAAGCCAGCUUGACUGCGAGCGUGACGGCGCGAGCAGGUGCGAAAGCAGGUCAUAGUGAUCCGGUGGUUCUGAAUGGAAGGGCCAUCGCUCAACGGAUAAAAGGUACUCCGGGGAUAACAGGCUGAUACCGCCCAAGAGUUCAUAUCGACGGCGGUGUUUGGCACCUCGAUGUCGGCUCAUCACAUCCUGGGGCUGAAGUAGGUCCCAAGGGUAUGGCUGUUCGCCAUUUAAAGUGGUACGCGAGCUGGGUUUAGAACGUCGUGAGACAGUUCGGUCCCUAUCUGCCGUGGGCGCUGGAGAACUGAGGGGGGCUGCUCCUAGUACGAGAGGACCGGAGUGGACGCAUCACUGGUGUUCGGGUUGUCAUGCCAAUGGCACUGCCCGGUAGCUAAAUGCGGAAGAGAUAAGUGCUGAAAGCAUCUAAGCACGAAACUUGCCCCGAGAUGAGUUCUCCCUGACUCCUUGAGAGUCCUGAAGGAACGUUGAAGACGACGACGUUGAUAGGCCGGGUGUGUAAGCGCAGCGAUGCGUUGAGCUAACCGGUACUAAUGAACCGUGAGGCUUAACCUU